ACACACAAUACAUUAAUGUAUAUAUCAAAGUUCAAUCACAUGCUUUAUUACAUCAAAAAUCUCAUAUCGAACCUUUAUUACAAUAAUAAUAAAUUGGCUAAAGGCCAACUCAUGAGAGAAAACUACUGCGGAAGCAACGAAGGUAGAUGAGUCCAUCUGACUCCAAGAGCAACACCGAGAACGUAGACCUUACUCCUGCCGGAAAAUACCUCUGCAACAUGAUAAGUUGCAGCCGCGUACGUCAGCAUUUUGAAUACGUCGGCAAAGUUACAGAGAAAACAGAUAAAAAUUGUAUCACUAUAUGUAAUGUGGUUGUAGCGGCUCUAAGUUUAAGUUUUUUCAUAAAAGCUAAUUCUUUCCUACUCAAGAGGAAAAUUAAUUACCACAAAUUAAUGUCAUUAAUGAGAUAUUUCCGCCAACCAAAUUCUCAUAACCCAGUUACAAUUAAAUCCAAUUAUUUUAUAAUAAAUGUGUCGAGAGUCCCUGAUAGUUCCAAUUCCAGAGGCUCAAGUUGUCCAUAAUCGAGAACACGGCUAAUUGAUUGGUUUAAUACUCCACAGAGUUUUGUGCACUUUCCCCACAAGAUUUGAUCCCUCCUUUUACGUCCUUGCACUGCUGUUGUUUAAGAACAGAAAGAUCAAAACAUGGUCUUUCGGAGAGUUUCCCUGAGCCACUGACAGUGCCCAUCCAAUCCUACCAUUUGUCUACAUCUGGUAGCACUGUCCGGUGAGAGUCACAACUAAGAUCAACCAAGUCAGAGCCCAUAUUGACUUGUAGUUGCAGUAUCCAUCCGCCUCUUUGAGUCUGGGUGGAACUUUCGUCAUCAUAACUGGCCUACUCCAGCUCGAAAAUCCACUUGUACUCCAGGGUGCCCUUCAACCAUUCCACCCAGAGAUAUAUUAAAGUCUUGAAAUCUUGAGGUUGUAGUCCUGAUCAAAAUUUAUAUCACACUCAUAACUCACAUAUAUCACUCAACCAAUCCCUGUCUACUAAAGCGUACCAACUUAAUAAAUUCAUCGUUUCCCGGGCAUUGGUAACAAGGGUGUGGGGUUUCAUACCUCAUAAUACUACUCAAGAACAAGUUCAAUAUUAUCUACUUAAUGCAUGAUGGAAAGUUUGAAUGUAAUGCAAUAAAAUCAUGAAUAUUACCAAACAUAUGAUCAAAUGUGACUUGACUUGGUGAUGUCCUUCAAACUCUAACGACUGAUAGUAGCAAGCUUCGCACUCCGGAUAAUCUAACGAAGCAAACAAUGACAUGCAUAAGCAAUCAUACUAACAAUGAAAGGAAUUCAACGAGUAAAAUAACAGGAAAACAAUAAAGAAAUCCAGAAGAAAAAACAAAGAAAAAUUAAAAGAAAUUUUACAAAACUUAGGUAAAACUUAAAUUCUAAUCAAACAAAAACAUAAAUAGUUUUCUGAUUAAAAUAAAAGUUUAACGAAAGAUAAAACUUAAUAUUAUUAGAUUAAUAAAAUGUAUUUUACUACAAAUUUAAUUAGCAAAAAGAAUCAAUUGAAAAGCUUUUGUAGAUCCAAAGUUAUGGCAAACAAGAUUCAACUUAGAAUUGAACAAAACUAAUUUUANNNNNNNNNNNNNNNNNNNNNNNNNNNNNNNNNNNNNNNNNNNNNNNNNNNNNNNNNNNNNNNNNNNNNNNNNNNNNNNNNNNNNNNNNNNNNNNNNNNNNNNNNNNNNNNNNNNNNNNNNNNNNNNNNNNNNNNNNNNNNNNNNNNNNNNNNNNNNNNNNNNNNNNNNNNNNNNNNNNNNNNNNNNNNNNNNNNNNNNNNNUUUUAAUUAAUUAUAAAAAUUUAUUACUGUUAUCUAACAAAAACUUUAGUGUAAUUAAAUUAAAGUUUAAAAAAAUAACUUGAAAAUAAAAGAAAAUAAUUUUCUUCUCAUUAAAACAAGCCUAACAGGUUCAGAUUUGAAACUGAUCAAAAUAGAUCUAAAAUAGUCUUCAAAAAUUAUUUUUAUUACUCCUCUGGAUAAAUAAAACAUAUAUAAAAUAGUGGCAAAAAGAAUCACUUGAAAACCUAUUUUUAAAUAAAAGUUAUGCUCAAAUGGGUGUUUGAAACAAAUCUGUAUUUAAAAGGUUCAAACAUAGAACUUUUGGAUCCAAUAGAAACUACACGAUUUUAUUACUGUAGCAAUUGGAAUCACUCCAUUUGGAUCAGUAGAUUAGGAGGUACGAUUUUUUAAGAUUGGCUAUUUUUCUAAAAAUUGAAUUACGAGAUUUUAGUGGAGCUCACCGGGGUUAGUUGCAGGAGUUGGAAGAUGGCGGAAACGAAAUUGGAUCUGAUGAUGUAGUGAUUCCAGGAGGAAGGCGAGCAUGGGACGGGGAAGAGGGUGUCGCAGCAACUUCAGGGGAGGCCGAGGCAGGCCAACCGAGCCUUGGCGAUGGAGAAGCCGCCAGAGUUUUCGAACUCCGACGAGUUCUUGCAGACCGUAGGGUAGGGGAAUGGGGGCUCCCGAGGGGGAAAUCGGUCGAGGGGAAUGAGUGGGACCUCGGGGGGCUUUAUAUAGGGGCGGGGAGGGCCGAGGGCGCGACGAUAAGCCGAGAAAAAUCCGUCCGUUACCAAAUUUCCGGCGGGCGAAGAUCUCGGCCUUGAUGGCCAUAAAGGUGCGGGGAGGCGGGGAAGUAAGGUGCGGGGCGUGGAGGAAGCUUCCUACGGCUAGGGGAGGAAGGAAAGGGGGGCCCGUGGCGCGCGGAUCACGCAGCCAUGGCUUGUGGUGGCGAUCUGAAACGCCCAGUUGUGAGGUUGACGACGACCUCGUGAGGGAGGCUAGGCCUCAGGUGGGCUAUUUCCGUUUUCUUUAAACAGCGAUGGAAAAGAAAGAAACAGAAAAUGAAAAUGAAUUUUGUAGGAUACAAAAUUUAUAUCGAAAAUCUUGAAAUAAAACAUAGAAAAAUAUGAACUAUUUUUCAUAGAAAAAUUAAAUACUUUUAAAAUAUAUUUUUUGAAAAUUCCAAAAAGAAUAGGAAUUUGAUUUUCAAAUUUUUUUGUUUCUAUUUUUUUCAAAAAAAAAAUCCAAAUUUGUCUCUGGUUUUGAAGGGUCAUGUUCCUUCACUCAUAUAUUUUGUAAUUAUCAAAGAACAUGGAAAAGUCUUACCUCGGAGAAGAAAAGGGAUCAAAUGAAAACUUCAAAAGGACUUCAAAUGGGAAUCCAAAUUUAAAUGGCACUCAAAUGCAAGAUGGCAUGUAAGUAUGCAUAGCUAUAUCAUAACAUACCAAAAUGCAAAUUUUGAGAUGCUACAUUAAGAUUAGUGAUAACUUUUCAGUGUCAACUCAACAAAAGAGUAAGCCAUUUCUACUAUGAAACUUGUGAAGACACGACUUCUAACUAAAAUAGGGGACACUUUUCUUCGCCAUUGCAUCAUAGUCUAUAUAGAGAAUGUACUAGCAGAAGUUCAAUUCUGAAAAGAUAUCCGAGACUGUUGAUCUUCGUAGUCGUAAUGCUCCUAGUUCCCCCCUCCCUCCAAAGUUUUGGCUCCAUUCUUGACCACAUUUGCUCCUAGUUCCCCCCUCCCUCCAAAGUUUUGGCUCCAUUCUUGACCACAUUCCCAAUUGGAUUUGUGGUGUUGCGUUGGUUCCUCAUUUGAAUCGACGACAGUCAGCACAUGUUCUAGUAAAUUCAUACUCUUCCAAGAUUAGUUGAUAGGGGCCCUCAAAUAUACAAAAACACCUACACCAUCUUGCUUUCCAGGAGGGUGUUGCCAAAUUUGAACAUCAUGAUCAACUUGGGCAUUAACUUUAGUAGGAUUAAGGCUGUCAUCUUUGCUAGCUUGCGACAUCGUUUAUAUAUUUGUAUUAGCAUCAUGUUCGCACGGCUGAUAGCUUGAAUCGAUUGGCUUGCAAAAAUUAUGAAUUGAUCUGGCUCUCUUUCUGUUCAUAUUACACACACAACCACAUGCAUGUGAACAAACUGAAAUUUCCUAAUUAGUUUUGGUUGUUUGUAUUUUCUUACAAUUCUACAUCCAUAAUUUAGAAGUCACAGAUUUAAUCUGCAUGACUGGUCUUUGGAGUAAACUAACCUUUCUUCCUUGCCUCUUCGCCGCUCAUCCUAACCGGCC
rnacentral:lncRNA from 1 species